GAGUGAGAGGGGGAGUCAGACCGUGCGGGUACAGCAGCGGGUUGGACGAAGAGGGUUCCUCACCUCGCACGAAGAAACACCGUAUGAACUAACAGACGGACAAAAUAACCAAACAACUUAACUGGUUUCUUUGCUGAUCUGUGCCGUGUCGUGCCCGCUGGAGAAACAGAGCCUGCACAGCUUCGAGAAACGAGAGAUCGGUGGAUAUUCUGGCAGCUCUUCCUCACAGAAACCAUGGUGGCGGCCAUCCUGAAAAUGUAUUUCUUUGGAACAGCACUUUCCGUCCUUGCAGUCCUUUAUGAAAUAGCGGACUCCGUUGGUGGUCUCAUGCACGUGCAGGACCAUCACUACUUACAGGAGCUGAACCAACAGACAGAGAGGGACAUUUCUUCAAACAACUGGGGAGGGCGGCCUGUGACUAAAAACAUUGGCUCAUGAGAAGAUCGUCAUGUUGUACAUUUUGGACAUGUUCUGCAGCUGUCUGGAAGGACAUGGAAUGUUCACUUAUGUGGAUUUAUGGUCCAAAUGGUUCUUUCUGUUUGGGCACUUUUUUGUAGCCCAUUGUCUGCUGUCAUGUCUUGUAGGAGCUAUUGUGUAAAACCACUACUGAACACAGAACACAUUCCUUGUGUUAAAAGUACACAUUUUGUAUAUAUUUUUCUAAGCAAAGUGAAUGAAAACAUUGGGGGAUUUUUGAUGAAUGUUUUUGAUGUGUGUAAGUUUAUUGCAGCAUGUAGAAGUCAGAGUACAAGGUGUGCGUUUCGGUUUGGUAGUGAUCCAGCAACUGAACUUGGAGUCCAAAAGAGAAAUGCAGGCUGCCAUAAAACUAACAGGUCUUAACAAAACAUGACUUCUCUAGAAAAGAAAAAAGAAAAAAAAAACAAACAAAAAACUUUCAGACUUCCAGCAAAAAUUGCACAACAAGCUCUCCACUGUGUAAAGAUCUGUCUGCCUUUUUGUAGUGAGUAAGGUUUUGUGAAUCAAAUAUGUGUUGCACAACAAAGCUGGGAAAUGAUCUGUAAAAGCUGAAAAGCAUGACUCUGUGCAGGAUUUCAACAUGAAUAAAGGUAAAAUGUUAUAAAUAA